CAGCCGCCGCGGUAAUACCAGCUCUCCGAGUGGUGUGGAUGUUUAUUGGGCCUAAAGCAUCCGUAGCUGGCUAAGUUAGUCCCUUGUUAAAUCCACCGAAUUAAUCGUUGGAUUGCGGGGGAUACUGCUUGGCUAGGGGACGAGAGAGGCAGACGGUAUUUUCGGGGUAGGGGUGAAAUCCUAUAAUCCCGGGAAGACCACCAGUGGCGAAGGCUGUCUGCUAGAACGCGCCCGACGGUGAGGGAUGAAAGCUGGGGGAGCGAACCGGAUUAGAUAUCCGGGUAGUCCCAGCUGUAAACGAUGCAGGCUAGGUGUUUGGACGGCCACGUGCCGUUCUAGUGCCGCAGGGAAGCUGUUAAGCCUGCCGCCUGGGGAGUACGAUCGCAAGAUUGAAACUUAAAGGAAUUGGCGGGGGAGCAAC
rnacentral:rRNA from 1 species